rnacentral:misc_RNA from 1 species
GAUGAAGAACGCAGCGAAAUGCGAUAAGUAAUGUGAAUUGCAGAAUUCAGUGAAUCAUCGAAUCUUUGAACGCACAUUGCGCCCUCUGGUAUUCCGGGGGGCAUGCCUGUUCGAGCGUCAUUAUAACCACUCAAGCUUUCGCUUGGUAUUGGGGCUCGCGGUUCCGCGGCCCCUAAAAUCAGUGGCGGUGCCUGUCGGCUCUACGCGUAGUAAUACUCCUCGCGAUUGAGUCCGGUAGGUCUACUUGCCAGCAACCCCCAAUUUUUACAGGUUGACCUCGGAUCAGGUAGGGAUACCCGCUGAACUUAAGCAUAUCAUAAGCGGAGGA